AAACAAAGGGGGGGGGGAGGGAAAUGCUGUAUUCACAUUUUGGCUACCAAUGUUACUUUUCUUUAAAACUCCUAUAAACAGGACUCAAGCACAGUUAGGUUUUAGAGACCUAGGAUGUCACCGACCAUAUGAAGUCCUUAUCAAUAUUUCUGUCAAAGAAGACACCUGUUUCGAGACACUAUUUGAUUGGUUGAAGAUGAAGAUGUUGGGGGUGUUUGUUCAUCUACCCAACUCGGGAAAAGCGGUGCUGUUCACUGCCCCUCCGUGACCCCGGGGUGAUGUAGCUCCCUGGUGAUCACCGUCUGCCUUGUCUCCUGUGAGAGCCAGCAGCCAGCUCUGCACACACCAGCUGUGUCCAUUCCUGCAGCUGACUCUGCCGGGGUCCAGCUCCCUCCUGCCCACAGGGGCACGUUCCCUCCAAGAGGCUGGACUUUGCCCCGUUCCCAUGAACCUUUCACAAGGUGCAAAGCCUUUCUUUACGUCUACCUGUGACUUUCCUUCCUGAUUCCUUCCCCAAACGUGCAUGCGUCUUUCUCUAUUUCCAGUCCCUUGGGUUACGAACUCCCGAAGUGAAGAGAAAUAUACUGGAAGAACCAGAGUGUCUAGAGAGAAGGCUUUAGAAAGGACGGGUGGCUUCAGCACCCACCAGGGCAGGACAUCCCAGAUUCCAAGUAUUUUCAAUCUCUCCUCCAGAUAAAAGGAGCAAAUGCCAGCUGAAUGGGUGGCCAACUGCUUCUGUCUGCCAGCAGUCUCGAACUUACUUUGAAUAAGAGUGAUGCACUGAAACCCUUUGAAAUGUAUGACGUGCGCCCUGUUCUUCGUCAUGUUCACCAAAAGUUUAUAAACUUUGUGAUGCUACGUGUUCAAGCCACCCACAUCCUGGACCGAAGGAUUGACUUUGAAUGAAACCAAAACUCCUGUUCAUCGCAAGCCAAAGACCGCGGCCACCUGGAUCCAUUAGGCGCGCUAAUACCUCUGGGGAACGCCACCUGCCAAUCAGGAAAAGCGGGGAAUCUGGAUCCGUCUUCAAACGCUGCUCCUGCCCCCGGCCAGGGCAGAGGGACGCUGGCUGAGGGCAGUGUAAGAGCCGUGGGGACGUGGUCCUGGAUGCACGAGGAAGAGCUGACCGUGCCGCGUUCCACGUCGCUGAGCCCUGCCGCGCGCCUCGUGGGCCGCCUGGGAGCCCUCGGCGCGCUGGGAAGCCGUGGGAAGAAGAGAGGAAGCUGGCGUUGGUCAGGAGCCCGAUUCUAAAAGGACACCCUUUGACUUUUAUACCUUUGGUCUGAGAGUAUGGCGGGAACGAAGAGAAGAAGCGGAGGCAGAAAGGACUGAGCCGGCGGCCUUUGCUGCCCCUCACACUCAGAACAGUACAUCUAACUUCCGCCUGCCUGCUGUUAUGUGGUGCUCCUGUGUCCGAGAACUCCCUAAGCACACAGAUGCAAAUACUCCCCAUGGUUUCCAUGUGAGAUGAGGGGAAAGACAGCCGAAUGGAGCCCUUUGGAUAUAACCAGAUGAGCAAACACAUCCCAUUCGCUGAGUGCCACCCCGUCGUUAUCAGAGAGAUAAUGUAAUUUCGCGUGCAUGGUCUUUGACUCGCGCCAUGCCUGUCAUCAGUAAUAAGCCCAACAGGUUUUAUGUAACCCACACUGCUGGGUCUGCGAAGCAUUUCUGAGACCUCACAAAGACUGGAAGACUGAGAUGUGGAACCCAGGGGCAUCGCUCUUCUUGUGGACGGGAUGGAAAAUAAACUUUUCAGCAUCUUUUGGGAAUGUUCUGCCCCCUCCAAUCAUCCAGACAUUCACUAGGGCAGCAUAGCUGUGCGGCUCCCAGGAUGGGGUGCUGGAAACAUGUGGAUCUGGAAAGCAGGAGAACAGCUGGGACUUGUCCGGCUGAGUAAACUGGCCUUGCUUCUCUUGGACACGUCAAGGAAAAGUUCAUAGCAGGAGCUGACUCUGCGGGAGGCGAAAGAUAAGGCGACUUGUCACUCCCGGGGUAAAGCAGAGCUCCCCAAGUGCACAUGAACAGUAAGACUCUUAGGGGUCAAAGGAGGGGGGCAGGCCAUAAUAAGUCCUGUUGGCUGCCCCUAAACCCUCUGUUCUGGGAUCCGUCUGUGCCAAAAAUGUGCAUGCAUAUUGGGGAGGGCCCUGGGUCCAGUCUGUGGAAAGUAACAUAAUAUCUUUUCUAAUCAAAGGAAAUCUUGGUGACUCCAUUUUGCUCUGGUUUCAGCCGAAACGCCUUCCUGCAACCCCCCUCCUCUUUCCCUCUUCUCCCAAGAACAAUUUGCUUCAAUGAGCCAACUGGGAAGAAUGUGUGCCCUGACCUGACCCAUGGGAAGGGGACAGGUACAUCACCUGCAUUAGGGACAAAUAGGGGAGGGUCCUUUGUUCGGCACACAUGCUUUUUGGAGGACCCAUGCCCUUCUGCAGAAGUAAAGAGCCUUGUCGAGAUUUCUCCUUGUCCAUGUGUCUCAUGUUCUGACACUGAUGAUCGGGCCAUGUCCCCAACAGGUCAGAUGUGAGAAAUACAACAGGAUAAUUGGCCAAAGGAAAACAGAGACCUGGAAGAAACUCCCCGUAUAGGUGGUUUAAAUCACCUCCCUGGCUUGCUCCUCAUUCAUGGGGAAUGCCUGCACCCUCAUUCCUCCUUUGGCUGUGUGUCACUGCUUUGCUUCUGCCUUAGAUAAAUAAACUUCUUCUCUGUGCUCUCUCACAAGUUGUACUGUGUCUCUAAUAAUACACUUUGUACCUGUGUUACAGGCUUUGCCUCCUUGAAACAUUCUUGCUUUCAAGAGGGGGCAAGAAUCAGAGUGAGUCUGCUCUCAGCCUCUUGCUGGUCUGGUGGCCAGGAUUUCUGGUUUUCACCCAGGCUGCCCAGGUUCCACUCCUAGUGGGAAUUAAGAUCUCGCUCCAAGCCAUUGCUCACUGCUUUCUCUCUGAGAUCAGUCUGAUCCUCUGGAGCCAAUAAUGACAUUUCCUGGAGUCAAGGGACAAGCAAUCAGCUGGGGUACCUUUGCUCCCAUUGGCUUCUGGCGGGGAGACCAUCAGCCUUGAUUCGAGGUCCUCCCCUGGGCAGCUGGCAGCCUUGAGACCCCGUGCAGCUGACUGCUCUCUGCUAGGUAUCAGCUGCUGUAUCGCAUGGCCAGCCUUUCCCCAUUUUCAAGCACAUACUUCAUCUCUGUGACCAAGGAUUCAGAAUAAAGGGCAGAUUUCCAAAUUGCCAGUCUCUUUAACAAACCAUUUAAAAGUUAUGUGUUUGAUUCUCCUAAGAAACAGCAUCAUAUCCAUUUUCUACAAGGAUCAUAUACUCUGUAGCACUGCUCACAGAGAUGAAAGAGUAAAUGUUUCAUUGUAACCACAGGCAGAGGUGUGGCGCAGGUACCUCGGUGGUGGUGGUGGUGGGGGGUGUUGUUAGAAAUGAGAAAGCUGGAGACCACACUCCUGAGCAUCUUAGCAGGCCUGGGGUUGCGCCCAACAAUUUGCAUUUUUGGAUUUCCCUUGUGGUCCUGGGGGUUAAGGAUCUGGGUUGUCUUGCAGCAGCACAGGUCACUGCUGUGGCACAGGUUCAUGAUGCCUGGCCUGGAAACUUCUGCAUGCAAAACAAACAAAGAAGCACACAAAACCCAAGAAAGAAUUUGCAUUUCCAACAGGUUCCCAGGUGGGGCUGAUAGGCUGAUAUCCAAGCCUCCUUCUGGAGAACGUUUGAGAAGGUCUCUCUCCCAUUAUAACUGAAUCAUUACACUCAACAGCUGAAAUAAUUCAGUGUUUCAAUCUGCUGAUCCAUCAUGAUUCACUUUAUGUAGGGGUUCUGAUCACAGUUUUAUUGUGUCGUUAUCCACGCCUUGGUAUUUGACCGUAUUUCCUCUCUGGCUUGGAUAAACGAGAAUUUAAGAGCAGAAUAAAACCGGUGUAGGCUCCCCUCCUGAUGAUGCCCUCACAGCCAUUAUUUCUUCUUAGACGUUGGUAAGUAGAGGUUAUUUAUCCCCUUAUUAAAAUUAAUUUAAAAAUCCCUCCUCCCUUGUUUGAAAAUGAUGGCAUACUUUAGAGAGGUCUCUGCCUGGACAUAAGAGGCACCUGUCAGGUCUCAUGGCUCACAGGUGCCCUUGGUAGUGGCCCACACACCCGCAGGGCAGCUUUUACCUGUGCCUGGUAACCCAGGGGUCUGCAGAGAUGUCACGGGGACCUCCCACUCCUCCCAAGGGGUGUGCCUGCCAAGGUUUGCUCUUCCCCACAAAAUCUCCCCCCCCCCACUUGUCGCUCUCGGAAUUUCCGUCUUUUAUUCGAUUACCAAGUCUUUUUAUUCAAUAACUGAAACAAAAAGUUAAAAUUGAAUGACCUCUGGGAGGUGAGGUAGCGAGUAAAAGAUAUGACGGCUACACCACAGGACUGUAUUUAUUUUUUAGGAUUGCUGCCAAGAGUGACGAGAAGCAGGUGUCUUUAAACCACAGGCCUUCAUCCUCCCCAUUGUCGCAAGGUGUCCCAGGGCCAGGGCCCCUCCAGAAGCUCCAGGGGAGGGUCCUUCUGAAACCAAACACAGCCCUGUGGGGCUGCUGGGCAUACAAGCCUUUCUGUGUCCCCCAUUUCUUGUUCUUAGGAAAUGGGCCUCUCUCUGAGGCUCCAAGACCUUCCCUGAGUUCCCAGGGGCAGGUUCCUCUCCCAGGGAAGGGAGAGGAGGCAGAGACCAGGGAGGAGCCAUCAAGACACAAUAGCACCGCCGUGGGGCAGGUCCUGGUUCCCUCUCGAGGGACAAAAGCAUCUUAUACACCUAAGAGAGAAGUUACAUUCCUCAUGCUUCAUUUAGAAAUGAAUACUUAACUGCAGCCUAAACACCGUCACCUGUGAACUAAGGAUGAGGCUCCCUGAGCUCAGUGGCCUGUGGGUUGAAGAUGAAGAGCACAUGAUGUUUUUCGGGAGCUUCCCUAGUUUGUUCUCAUCUCUGAUCCAUAUGCCCUUUUCUCAAGGGCUGUUGUUCUCGUCGAUAACCCAACAGACCCCCACCAGAAUCAGAGUGAGAUCUCCUGACUCCAGCUUUGAGGACUAAGAUCCCCCCAAAGAAAGAACACAUGUUUGUCCCACUCCUCAUUCCUAUCUGAAAACUUGUUUUUCUCCUUUUUACAUUAAAACUCCUUGAAAUUCUUUCCAAUGCAGGGGUGGGGGGAGGGGCAUAAUCUUUAGGGCAUUAGCCUGCCGGGACCUUCCUUUGCCUUGCAAAGUAAUAAAGCUAUUUUUCCUCUCCUUUACCCAAAACUCUGUCUCUGCAUUUCAGUUCGGCACUAGCAGACAGAGGCCCAAUUCUGGCAACACUUCCUGCCUCUUCUAGCUUCUGGGGGUUCCAGGCAGCCCUGAGCUUGUGGCUGCCUCUGUCUGUACCUGGCUUCUCCUCUGUGUCUUUCAUUACAGGGAAACUUAGUGGAUUUGGGGCCGAUCCUCAGCCGUGAGGAUCCGGUCCCUCACACGAGCUCAUAACACCCUGGCAAUUUCCUGAAGGAGCAUCUUUUGUUAUUCAUAAGAAACCUGAGCACACCUGAGUUCUUGCUAAUGAGGUUUAUGCUAAUGAAGUGGGGCUGGUUGCCGGAGGAACCAAGCACGUGAUUAGAGGGUUUAGCGCUGCCCCCUACCCCAGCGCUGGCGGAGGGACUGGGGUGAGAGUGAGUCAGGGAGGGACAAGGCUUUCAUCAGUCAUCCCUGGUGGACCCUCCCAAGAAAACCCUAAGGGGUUCCAAGAGCCUCUCAUUGGGGAAGUGUCCACAGUUGGGAGGGUGACGCACCCCGAACUCCACAGAGACUGAAGCUCCUGGAUCCCACCUCUCGCACACCUGGCCCCUACUUCCUCAUCUGCCUGUACAUCCCUUUAGGAUCCACAGCAUCAAGAACAAGUAACCACCUGGAUAAGGGAAGGCUCUGGGACCCAUUCAGGAUGUUAUUGAUGUUUUUGGAGAUGACGUCCAAGAGGAAGAGUUGGCAUUGCAUGGAGAGAUAAUGAGCUGUGUGGUGAUCAGCCCAGGCCUCAGAAGAAGUAGAUAAGGGGCAACCUCAGAGCCCUUCACCCACUGGACGCCACUGAGGACAGGAUCUCUGGAACAGGCACUACACCCCAUUGUGAUGUCCAGACGCCAGCUGGGUUUCCAGGGGCAACGGGGCUGCCCCAGUUCUGAGCCCAGGGGACCCCAGGAGGCAGAUGUGCUCUGGGGCGUGAGAUCCAUUAAGUCCGCCUCAGGAAAGCUGCAUCCUCCACACUGAAACCACACCGGCAUUAGGACACUCCACCCAGCCUCUGGAAACACCCACCACUGCCUUCUUCUGGAAAGCACCUGCUCUAGUCCCUGGAGACUCGUAUUAGGGCAGAAUCCAACAGAAGAAUUCCGUGGUCAGCAGAGAAAGCCCCAUCUCAGCAUCCAUGGAGCAGGUGCAUCUGAGCACAAGCCUGGUGGACCAGCCGACAAGCCUAAGACAAGGGCACAGGUGAGUGGGAGCUGCUCCCAACAGGUGGAGACACAGGUGCCGAGCAGACUAGGCAGGGAGGCGAGGCCACAUCUGUGGAACUCUAAGUGGACCCCUGUGGCUGUGUGCACCUUGCACGUGUGACAUACACUGACAGACACACACUCUGUAAUUCUCAGGAGACCGUACAUCCAGGCAGGGAUCUUUCCCUCCUUCAGCUCCCCAGCCUCCCAUGAAAAUGGCCCUCUCAACCUGCAGGACUAGCAAGACAUGAGGAUACAGGCUGGAUUGAAGAGCAAGCCCAUCAAACACAGUGGACAUGCAGGGGUGUCCUUCUGCCCUUCCUGGCCUGUGCCCUUGAGCGUUGGGGUGUUUGGGUCUUAAGAAGCCCGCCGUACAUACAUAGAAACGAUGCAAUUUAGAGACAUCUUUAUACCGGGGAUGAGACUCAUAGGUUCUGCUGAUGGGUGAUUGUUUUUCUUUUUAAAUUAUGGUUGAUUUACAAUGUUGUGUUCAUUUCUGCUGUACAGCAAAGUGAUUCAGUUACAUGCAUGUCUGUAUUCUUUUCAUUGCACUUUAUCACAGGAUAUUGAACAUAGCUCCCUGUGCAUGCAUGCAUGUCUGUAUUCUUUUCAUUACACUUUACCACCGGAUAUUGAGUAUAGCUCCCUGUGCUCUUCAGUAGGACCCUGUUAUGUAUCCGUCCUAUACACAGUAGUUUGCACCUGCUAAUCCCAAACUCCCAGUCCAUCCCCCUGGGCAACCACAAGUCUGCGCUCCUUGCUUGUGAGUCUGUUUCUGUUUUACGAGUAAGUUUAUCUGUGUCGUACCUUCGAUGCCACAUAUAAGUGAUAUCAUAUGGUAUUUGUCUUUCUCUUUCUCAGUUCACUCAGUAUGAUCAUUUCUAGGUUCAGGUGUGUUGAUGCAAAUGGCCUGAUUGCAUGAUUUCAUUCUAUUCUAUGGCUGAGUCAUUUUCCAUUGUGCAUAUGGACCACAUCACCUUUAUCCAUUCCUCUGUCGAUGGACAUUUAGGUUGUUUCCAUGUCUUGGCGAUUGUGAAUAGUGCUGCUGUGAACACUGGGGGAUAUGUCUUUUCCCAUCACUCCAUGAAUCAAAUCCAGUUGACAAGCUCUCGUGCAUACCUUGUUGGAGGUUCUUGCUGGGCAGGGUCUGUGGGUUCUGCUUUUUCAUAUCCCCUACUGUCUGCAAAGCCUUCCACAAGUCCUGCCUUGGGUAUUAUAUGGAAAACCCUGAGCUGUUAUUUUUAAUAGCGUUUCAAAGACUUGAGUGGACGACAGACUUCUCGAGCCUUGAGGGGGGCAGGUAGCUUUCAUUGUGGGAUGGGAUUCCUUCUUUUGUGGGAUGGGAGUGCCCUGAGAGUUCACAAGGUGAGGGAGAAAAUAUAGGGGAGGCGCUGUAGGGAUGAAAAGUGGGGUGACGGUCCUGGAAGUAAUUAUACCAGACACCUCUGGGUAAAAGACAGUCCUCUGGAUAGACACAAGCCAGAGAUGAGUGAGUUGCAAAGCCUGAGACCCAGCAACGUGGAUGGUGUAACGCCCAGAGUGAGGGUAGGAGAAGACCAUUGUGGCAGGUUGGUCCACUUGGGCAGAGAGAACAUUUAUCAUUCCUCUGCCUUUGCUUCUCCUCAGCUCUCAAGGAUGGGGAGGGGGUGACGCCCUCCCAUGCUGGGGAGGGCCCCCUGAUUCCCAUGCUCGUCUCUUCUGGAAAUACCUCCCCCAGACACACCUAGAGUGAACGUUUAGCCAGGUACCUGGGCACCUGUGGUCCCCUCAUGUUGACCCAUCAAAUUAUCCAUCCCAGCAUCCAGUCUCUGCCUGGGUGGUUUGGACUGAACUGAGCUGGGACCACACUUCCCAACACCCUUUUCUUUCUGUUUUCAGACCCCAUUCAGUUCCCAUCAUUCUACCACGAAGGCUUUCCUAUCCGUCAGUGUAUUCCAUAUCCAUCCCUGCCUUUUAUUCUGAAGACACUUGCCCAAGCUUAAACAAAGCAAUUAUUUAACUUUAUUUUUGUUUAUGAAAGUCUAGUUGAUUUGCAAUAUUGGGCCAGUUUCUGCUGUACAGCAAAGGGACGAAGUUAAAUGUUUAGAGCCACGAUCCCAUCUUUCCAACAUCCCCUUUAUACGUGGGAAAACACAUGUAGGGGCAUGGAUAGGAACAGAUGAAGAGAAUUUGGUCUUCUCCUAUAGAUGCUUCCUUCUUCCUGUUACACCUUGGCGCCCUAAGAUCGUGUGUUACAUUUAUUUAGAGCACAGUGUUACAAUGUAGCAUAUGCGCUGAGGAAAUAACCACUGGAGAAACGAUUCGUUCAGAUCCCAGGGCUGUUUCACAUUCAGCGAAACAGCCAGUUCUCGGCAAAUGAGGAAACAAGGAUGUCCUCGAUGUUGGACCUUCCUGUCGGCUGUGUUCACACUGUGUUCACACAGAUUUCACAUCAGCCUGGCCAAAUGCAUUACCUGGACGCUAUGGAUGCCAUUUGCCAAACAUAUGUGCCUUCUCUGGACGGGGGUUUCUUCUUUAAUUCCUCUUGUGACUGCCUGCGGGCGCUCUUUCUGGGGAUGACAGGGUUGGGCUAGAGAAGAUGUUUUAGCAACAGACAUAGGAGAAUGUUUGAAAAUUGGAGCACCCAGAGCAGAAGGAAAUGUCUCCAUGAGCCCCUUUGUGGAACACGCAGCAAUGCUUUGCAGCCCACAGGAGUUCAAGAGCUUCUGAGCAAUUAGAAAUCGCCUUCCCCUAACCCAUCAUCUUUCUUAGAAACUUAUUAGGGUGAUACCUUAAUAAGAAUUGUGUAAAUGGUAUUAUUGUUUCCUCCAAAUGACUGACUCCUGUGUAACGAAAACGCUUCACUAGGAAUGAUUUAAGAGAGAAAUUACCUCUGGAGCAGAACACAAGUGAAAUUCUUUCUGUCACCAAGUGUAUAGACUCUAAAGAAAAAGCACAUUCAUGUAUCUGGAGGCUGCCUUUGUAAUCAUUCACCGAUACUGGCCCUCCUGUAUAAAUGCUCAAAAUAAUAUGUGACCUGGGUGUAAUAUUCAUCCCACUCCUGGGGUUGGGGAGGGGGGUGGUCUGAGGGCAAUACUUUUUUUUAACUUUAUUUUCUAUUAGGGUAUAGUUGAUUUACAGUGUUGAGUCCAUUUCUGCUGUACAGCAAAGUGAUCCAUUCCGUUUCUUAUAUUAUCUUCCAUCCUGGUCUCUCCCAAGAGACUGGAUAGAGUUCCCUGUGCUGGACAGCAGGACCUCAUUGCUUAUCCAUUCUCUGUGUCAUGGUUUGCAUGUACUCACCCCACACUCCCCGUCCAUCCCACUUCCUCCCCCUCCCCCUUGGCAGCCACAAGUCUGUUCUUUACCUCUGUGAGUCUGUUUCUGUUCUGCAGAGAGGUUCACCUGUGCCGUAUUUUAAAUUCCACAGAGCAGUGGUUUCAUAUAGUCAUCUCUCUCAGACUUACUCUACUUGGCAUGAGAAUCUCCAAGUGCAUCCAUGUUGCUGCAAAUGCCAUUAUUUUAUUCUCAAGUAGAGAUUUUAAUAGUAGUCACAGCAUUACUCCUCAGUGUCACGGAAGUCCACGGGUUCCAGCUUAUGGAAUAGUUUCACAUGCAUGACCUUGUUUGAUUCAACUGCAUUUCCCUGCUUCCCAGCUACCAAUCUGCAUGCUCUUCCAUUGGGAGUUUUGAGGGAGGCACCCGUUGGAUUGAAGUUGCUGGGAACAGAAUCAUCUUUGCUCUGAGAUGUUCAUAAAAGGAAUGUGGUGUGUGGGAUCAGCUGGCACAUGCAUGAUGGCAGAGCAGCUCUGUACACUGUCUUUUGGACAUUGUCCUGGACACAACAGGACUUAAAGGGAAAAACAGCAGGCAGUACGCAAUACCAUGUGAUCUUCAGAAGGACUUUUCCAGGCAAAGAACGUGUGGCCAGGUUCCCAUCAUGAACUUGCAUUUGAUCAUCUGCCGAGCAGCAGAUUUUAGCAAUUGUUGAACAGGCACAUUUUGUU